UCGUCUUAUGCCUGAUUCGGUCAACUAUCCUGCCCCGGGGUUGAUCUUGAGCCAGGAUGCGCCUCGCUUGCGAGCUGCGUACAAGACAAGAAUAACUCUGCGGCGUUCAUUGAGUGCGGGACCUUCUCUUUCCCUAUGGAGGUAUCUCGCAAUUUCUCGCUGCAACAUUU
rnacentral:snoRNA from 1 species